AUGAUCUCUGCUUCUGGCGCUUUGAGUUCAUAGGUGACCGUGGGUGACGGUCGGCUUCAGGGUUCGUUGGGCUCAAGUGCAAGUUGUAUCCGUGCACUGGGGACUCAUCGCCUGCUACAUUUUCUGACUCGACAUCGUCUGGAUUUAGCUGACCAUUCACGCCGGGUAGGCUGAAGUCGCUUGAGCUUGGUUCGUAUACGACAUUGUCGCUCAUCUGAUGACUGUUGUGGAUUUCUGACGGACCCAAUGCUUUCAGUUGUCUACCAAGGAGAUAUAUUGUUUGCUGACAUUCUGCAAGCUUCUCGGCUGCUGCAGCUAUUUCCUUUUCCUGGUUUGUCUUGACGUCUACAUCUGUCGGAAAUGAACACAU
rnacentral:misc_RNA from 1 species